UACGAAGGGGGCUAGCGUUGCUCGGAAUCACUGGGCGUAAAGCGCACGUAGGCGGAUUGCUAAGUCAGGGGUGAAAUCCUGGAGCUCAACUCCAGAACUGCCUUUGAUACUGGCGAUCUUGAGUCCGGGAGAGGUGAGUGGAACUGCGAGUGUAGAGGUGAAAUUCGUAGAUAUUGGGAAGAACACCGGUGGCGAAGGCGGCUAUCUGGACGGUUUCUGACGCUAAGACGCGAAAGCGUGGGGAGCAAACAGG
rnacentral:rRNA from 1 species